UUAAAACCUUCUAGAAUCCAACGCUUCUUCGAUAUAUCCCUCUCUACCCGUCACUUCAUUUUCUCCCUCAUUGCUUUUCUUUUGGUUCUCUCCAUCUCAAAGUUUCGGUUAUGUCAUCGAAACGCAUCGUUAAGGAGCUCAAGGGUUUGCAGAAGGAUCGUCCUACGUCCAGUGCAGAAACCUUCUGUUCUUACGGGGCUGAAAUGUACGUGUAAGACACGUCUACAAGAAACACUACUCAACUAUCGUCUUCUUCUCAAUCCGAUAUGUAUUUGGUUAUCUUAGUGCAAAGGCUGAAAUGGCCAGCAAACUUGAGCUUCCAGACUUCGGUUGUAUUCACCUGAUAUUUCAUUUUUCACAGUUGAAAUGAUCAGUGAAGAGUUGUUCUGCUACUACAACUUUGCCUUCAGGGCUGGCUGUUACUAAUUUGGAGCCCCCUAGUCUUGAAGCUUUUUUGGCUACUAGGACAGGCAACAAUGUCAGGAAUGGCUGAUCCUGUGGAAGUCACAGUCUGCAGAGGAAGCCUCAUGGGAAAUGGCAACUUCUAUUAUUGAGAAAUAUCCCAAUAUUUGCCUUGAAGACAUGGAAACUUUCAUACGGGGUGGUAUUGAUAGGAAACUACCUUCUAAGUGGGAUAGGCCUUUUUAGACAUGCCAUCUAAACGCACAAACAGUAUGGGGCGUAAUAUUAUCUAUUAGUGGAGAGUUAACUAGAGGAGAGGAGUGUUGUGUGGUUCUUUUAUGUGGUGAUCCAAUCGUUUGUGAGGGGAUGAUAUCAGAUUUGGAAAUAGACAUUGAAGACAAGGGAACAUUUCUCUGACUUUGGGGAGAUUGCUCUAUUGAUUCUUCUUUCUUUGUUAUUUUCUUGUUUUUCUGCAGCACCUCUGAUACAAAUUGUAGCUUCUUCUCUUUUCUUGCAAAUUUAGUGAAGAGUGGUCUUGGAAAGCAUUCCUAGUAACAAAAUUAAAUUGUUGGAUGAUGUUAUUACAGUCUUGAUUUUCCUCAUGUUAAGAAUUUUUCUGUUCUUUGCUUGUUUCAGUCUCCUGUCUUUUGUAUGCAUAAUUUUUCUCUUUGAUAUGGGGACUGAUGAUCUUAAGCACCCAUGCUGGCUGCUAGUCAAGUUCUUCAAUAUCUGUCAAGUGUUGUAGUUUAGAAAUUCUGAAUUUAACGUCUGAGUACUGCAGGUUGCCUUUAAGACUAGGUAUUCCACCCAAACAUCAACAUUAAUGGAAGCAUAUGUGUUGACAUUCUAAAAUAACAAUGGAGCCUGACCUUAACCAUUUCUAAGGUUUGAUAUUACUUGUGUUUCGUGAUUUUUUAUGAUUUUGCAUAACGGUUUUAGCAUUUGUAAUUUCUGUGUUACCAUAUCCUCUUAUUUUGACAUUCGACAUUGGAAUAAUAUGUAUUUCUGGCAUAUUAUUGCUCGUGGCUACAACAUAAAUACAAACCUUGUUAUGGCCCUGUUUGGAUACAUUAAGGUAUGAACUUUUUUUAGCAGAGGAACUCCCAAAGUCACUUCUACUUGAAAUGUUGAGAAAUUGGAGCUUAUACUCAAAUCGAGGAGUGAGAUUAUUUUCAACCAUAAAAAUUGUCUAUCAUGUACUGUAACUUGUUUAGUUUCUAUUGAUAUGUGAAACUGUUGUGUCAUGAUGUUUUUAAUGCUUCGAAAUUUAACUAAAGACUUGUUUACUGCUUAUGUUUAAGAAUUAUAUUGAAAAAACUGUGAACCUUCUUAGAAA